CAUUUCCUACGGGAGGCAGCAGUGAGGAAUAUUGGUCAAUGGGCGGGAGCCUGAACCAGCCAUGCCGCGUGAAGGCGAGUGCCCUACGGGCGUUAAACUUCUUUUGUGCGGGAGCAAUAAGGGCCACGUGUGGCCCGAUGAGAGUACCGCACGAAUAAGCAUCGGCUAACUCCGUGCCAGCAGCCGCGGUAAUACGGGGGAUGCGAGCGUUAUCCGGAUUUAUUGGGUUUAAAGGGUGCGUAGGCGGAUUUUUAAGUCAGCGGUAAAAUGUCCGGGCUCAACCCGGGCCGGCCGUUGAAACUGGG
rnacentral:rRNA from 1 species